rnacentral:rRNA from 1 species
AUUCCAGCUCCAAUAGCGUAUAUUAAAGUUGUUGCAGUUAAAAAGCUCGUAGUUGGAUUUCUGGUUUGAUGCCCUGGCCCGCUUCAAAUUUUGGAGUGUGUGCCGGCUGUGCGUCUGCCAUCCUUCUAGAAAACGUUCGUACCCUUCACUGGGCCGCGUUCGAGAUCUAGAUCUUUUACUUUGAAAAAAUUAGAGUGUUUAAAGCAGGCAGUUGCUAUGAAUACAUUAGCAUGGAAUAAUAAUCUAGGACUUCGGUUCUAUUUUGUUGGUUUGCACACCAAGGUAAUGAUUAACAGGGACAGUUGGGGGUAUUCGUAUUUAAUUGUCAGAGGUGAAAUUCUUGGAUUUAUGAAAGACGAACUACUGCGAAAGCAUUUACCAAGGAUGUUUUCAUUA